rnacentral:SRP_RNA from 1 species
UGUCGGUGCCUUCGCGACGAUAAACUGUGAACCCGGUCAGGCCCGGAAGGGAGCAGCCGAAGCAGUGGACUCGGGUGCCGGAGAUCUGCUGGCACGA